GGGGAAUAUUGCACAAUGGGCGAAAGCCUGAUGCAGCGACGCCGCGUGAGGGAUGAAGGUCUUCGGAUCGUAAACCUCUGUCAGAAGGGAAGAAACUACGCUGUGCUAAUCAGCAGUGUACUGACGGUACCUUCAAAGGAAGCACCGGCUAACUCCGUGCCAGCAGCCGCGGUAAUACGGAGGGUGCAAGCGUUAAUCGGAAUUACUGGGCGUAAAGCGCACGUAGGCUGUAGUGUAAGUCAGGGGUGAAAUCCCACGGCUCAACCGUGGAACUGCCUUUGAUACUGCACAACUUGAAUCCGGGAGAGGGUGGCGGAAUUCCAGGUGUAGGAGUGAAAUCCGUAGAUAUCUGGAGGAACAUCAGUGGCGAAGGCGGCCACCUGGACCGGUAUUGACGCUGAGGUGCGAAAGCGUGGGGAGCAAAC
rnacentral:rRNA from 1 species